AAAUCAAAGUGAAGGUUGUGAUAUUUUAUACAAAUAGAAUUAUUAUUUAAGAGAAAUAACCUGUUUAUGCCUAAUUAGAGUUUUAAUCGUUUCAAUUACCUAGUUCCUUUAAGAACAAAUUUAGUGAGAAUAUCAGUUCCAGUCAGGGGUACCAAACAUUUUUAGUGACAGAGUACACACAGGUAUGUAAAACUUGUCAUUUCUCAUCAAAUAGAGACUGCUGAAUAUAGGCAGAUAAGAAAAGCUAUGAAAAAGAAUUGUUUUGCAGAAUAUUUGUCUAGUGGUCAGAUCUAGGAACUGAAUUUAUUGACUCAGAACACUUAAGUAAAAAAAAAUGGCUUCUUAUAAUCAAAAAAAUAAAAAGUUAAUUUUACAGAAGGCAGUAGUUAAUAUAGCCUCCAAUAAAAUAAAUGUUUCUCUGAAUACUUUCCGAGGCAUUACAGUGAUUUUUAACUAAUAUGAAGUUAUAUAUAAUAAUUUUAAAAUAACAUCCUUGUGUUUUCCUAUUACUGAUUGCUUAUGGAAAUUGGGUUUCAUGUAUGACUGAGAGCUAAAGCAUUACAGUGAAUUGGAAAACACAACACAAAUAUAAAGAAAGUGUUAGGCGGUGAGCAAUCUGAUUCCUUUUUGUUUGCCUUUAAGCUUAGUUUUUUGUUUUACUUUGUUUUAGACCAUGUAUAAAAUUGUUGAAUUUAAAACAUAAGAGGAUUGAGUGAUUUUUUUUUCCUCCUAAGGGUAAAUGUAGGGAAAAUCUAAACACAUAUGCAGAUUGGUUGAGUUUUAUAUCUGUUAUCGGCCAUAUUUAUUAAGAUUCAUAUUUCAUGUAUAUUAAAGGUAUUCAAAUGUAUUAAAAUUCUUAUAUUCUUUCUAUGUAAAAUAGAUGUAGGGGGUUCCCACUCUUGAAAAUAUGAAGAAAACAUGUCCUUUCAGCAGUAAUGGGUUUUGGUUGAUUAAUUGAGAAGGUUGUAUUAAACGUUCUCUAGUGGAAAUGUCUAAAGAGCAUGCUUUUUGAGAAAUGUAUCAUCUAGGAAUAAAAUCAAUUGGAGUAUUGGUAAUUAAAUUGUAAUUCCAUGAAGGAAGGAAGUUGUGCAAAAGAUGUAGCUAACUAUUCCUGUUUUUCUCUUUAAGAGUCUACAAUUCAUAAUGGAGCUACUGUACUGGCUAUUGGAAGGAGGAGAUUCUGAAGAUAAGGAGAUUCAGCGAUCGGUCUUUGAAAUUUCCUGUGAUGUGUUUCAAUCUAGAUGCAAAGGACAUGGAAAAAUCAAAGUGCUCGAGUGGUUUAAAUAUGUUUUGGAUGUUCCUGUUUGUAGACGAUAAUACUUUUCCAAUUAGAAUCCUCAGUUGUCAUGCAGAAGAAAGUUAAGCUCUACUUGAUUGCCAAUUUUACUGAAAAUGCUUAGUAUUUUACAGUAUCACUGAAUAUAUUUUGUAUAGCCAAAGUAUAGGAAAAAGAAAAUAAAUUGUAUAGGUUGACUUUUUUCUAAAAAUGUCUUUUUUCUAAAAAUGUCUUUAUUGGAUUGAAUGUUUAUGCCUGAAAAAAAAAGGUUCAAAAAAUUCCUUUUACCAUCAUAGUCAUUCUUUUGACAAUCAGUUAUUAUUAGACUCGAUUUAAAAUAAUUUUCUAAUAUGACUCUUACAUUUAUGGGAGGAAAAAGACUUGAAAGAUACUCCUGUGUGUAUUUUAAUUCUCUGUAGUAGUCCCUCUGGAAUAGAAUGUCUCUUCCUCAAACAAAUCUAUUGGCUCAUUUCAUAUAUGAGAAAAAGUUGCCCUAACUGGCAGAGUUUCAUCUCUGUAAAGAAGGCUGACAUCCACCUCCUUCACAGAAUCCUUGCAUCUGGGUAAUUGAGUAAUGACAGAUUACCUUGCCAUUGGGAAAUACCUUGUUGUGGCCUUUGUAGCAGCUACAGGAAGAUGGAAGAAUUCUUCUGUACAGACAGGUCUCCAGCCUCUUUGGUGUGGACACUGUGAAGGGGUACAUCUGGUGAGAAGGAGUGCUUAGGGAAGGAACUGGGAAGGUCCACAAAGGCUGAUGAUGACAAAGAAUCCAAGGGCUAUGAUGAAUUCUUAAGCUUAGAUCUCAGAGUCAUAAAGUAAAUUUAUUAGGCUAGAGAGAUUUCCUUUUUUAUUUUUGAUCUAACUUUAUUUUUUCAGAUUUAUAAGUUCACAUGCAGUUGUACAAAAUCAUACAGAAAUCUUUGAACACUACCCAGUUUCUCCUAAUAGUAACUUCUUGCAAUAUACUGUAUAGUACAGCAUCACAACCUGGAUAUUGACAUUGAUGCAGUCAAGAUAGAGAGCAUUUCUAUAACCAGGAGGAUCCCUCAUUACUGCCCUUUUAUAGCCACCCCUACUUCCAGACCAUCUCACUCCUCCCUUAACCCUGGCAACCACUAGCCUGUUCUCCAUUUCUAUAAAUUUGUCUUUAUAGGAAUGUUAUGUAAUUGCAAUUAAAGUGUGUAACCUUUUGGGGUUUGACUCAAACCCAGCAUCAUUUUCUGGAGAUUCAGCUUAUAUGUGUCAAUAGUUUGUUCCCUUUUUUUCAGUUCAAUAAUAUUCUGUGGUAUGCAUGUACCACAUCACUCAUCAAUUAGAACUUCUGGGUUGUAUCUGGUGUUUGAUUAUUACAAAUAAAAGUGCUAUAUAUAUUCGUGUA